UACGGCCACAUUGUGUUGAAACGUUGGUUCCCGUGCGAUCAACGAAGUUAAGCAACAUUGAACCUGCUUAGUAUCUAGAUGGGUGAUCACUUGCGAAUACUAGGUGCUGUAAG